rnacentral:lncRNA from 1 species
GUGGAAUGUGUAAUGUAGAAUAGUAUGAUCUUUAACCCUGUGUGGGUGGUGUAGGGCAGUAUUUGUUUAGAAUUGCCCGAGGGCUGGGUUUGUGUUGCAAGGAGGCUUUUUUUCUCUGGAUGCCAUUCUCCCAUUUUUCGGGCAUAUACAUGCGGGCUGGUGGCGGCUCAGUGGUGGGUCUGUCAUUUAGGCGUUCAUUGUGUUUUCUCUUCAAUGUCUCUGUGGAUUCUGUUGACUGGACUUGUGAUUCUUUGGCUAUGGGUUUUGUUGUCUUAGCAUCUUGUGAGGCUGUCUGGAGGUCAUUACUAUGUGUUUCUGUUGCCAGGGUGGUGAAUAGUUUUUCCUUGGAAUUACUUCCACUGUUUAUACUGCUUUCUCACUAAGAACUUUUGGAAUCAAGUACAUAUUAAAGCAGUUGUGC